UAGGGAAUCUUCCACAAUGGGCGCAAGCCUGAUGGAGCAACACCGCGUGAGUGAAGAAGGGUUUCGGCUCGUAAAGCUCUGUUGUUGGAGAAGAACGUGCGUGAGAGUAACUGUUCACGCAGUGACGGUAUCCAACCAGAAAGUCACGGCUAACUACGUGCCAGCAGCCGCGGUAAUACGUAGGUGGCAAGCGUUAUCCGGAUUUAUUGGGCGUAAAGCGAGCGCAGGCGGUUGCUUAGGUCUGAUGUGAAAGCCUUCGGCUUAACCGAAGAAGGGCAUCGGAAACCGGGCGACUUGAGUGCAGAAGAGGACAGUGGAACUCCAUGUGUAGCGGUGGAAUGCGUAGAUAUAUGGAAGAACACCAGUGGCGAAGGCGGCUGUCUGGUCUGCAACUGACGCUGAGGCUCGAAAGCAUGAGUAGCGAACAGGAUUAGAUACCCUGGUAGUCCAUGCUGUAAACGAUGAGUGCUAGGUGUUGGAGGGUUUCCGCCCUUCAGUGCCGGAGCUAACGCAUUAAGCACUCCGCCUGGGGAGUACGACCGCAAGGUUG
rnacentral:rRNA from 1 species